UAGAGUUCAUUUACUCAUAGUUACUUAAGUUUUGCUGUUCAUACAAUAUAGAGAAGUUAGUGAGACCCUUGAGUAGACAACUCUUUCUCCCAGCAGUUUUGGGAUUCCUUGUAGCCUUAUAUUCAGUACCACAUUUCUACAUCAGGCCCUCAUUAAUCUAGGCCCUUCUUUCUGCUUCUUGCUUUUAUGAUUUCACUGUUCCUUGAGCCCUCCACUAAAGGUAGGACAAGAAGAGA
rnacentral:lncRNA from 1 species